CACCAGAUGACUGAAGUUUAAGUGUAGGUCUUUUAAACCUGUUAUAGUAUAAUUACUUCUGGUGA
rnacentral:tRNA from 1 species